rnacentral:tRNA from 1 species
UCUAAUGUGGCAGAUAAGUGCGGUGGAUUUAAGCUCCACAAAUAAAGUAUUCAAGCUUUCCUUAGAA